AGGGACCAGUCAUGAAAGCUGGUCAUUCAUUGUACCAUUCAUCAUUGGACUGGUUUGUGGAAUUUCGCUAAUUGUUCUUGUGCUUCUGCUGGUGAAGUGCUACAGAAAGGAUGCAUGCAGUAACAGUCUCUCUCAGUCUCUGAACAUCAACCAAGGCUCUGCUACACAGCAAACAGUGAACCAGAAUGAAACUCAAGUUUACUCCUCUCUUCUCCAUGCUGAUGUUUGUGUCUAUGAAUCAAUCAGAGGCUCUGGAAACACAGGAAGUGGUACAGUAGAAACUUUGAUUCAUGUGGAGCUGUCAGACAUUAGAUUAUUAUCAGUGACUCAUCUAAACUCAUGGAACAUUCUGAUGCAUUUAUCUUAACAGGGAUGCAGGAUGACAUGGAGAGCUCUGACUACAAUAAUGUGAAUCCUGAAUCAGUGAAAGGUAAAAAUGUUCAGACUCCAGCCACUA